UUAAAUUUCAAUCUUAGAUUAAUUUUAAAUACAAUUUGAAAUAUUAAAUAAAUAUUAUAAACUAAUAAAAAUAAUAUAUAACAUUUUACUAUUUAUUAAAGAUAAAGCAAAUAUUUGUGACUAAAAAAGUGCCAGCAGUCGCGGUCACACUUUUACAUUAUAAAAAAUUCGAUUAAAUAAAUAUUUUUUGAUAAAUAUCAUAAUAAACAAUUAUUAGUUUAAUAAAAAUACAAAUAUAAAUCUGAUUAUAAUCUUUAUAGAUAUUUAUAAAAAAAAGCUAUAAAAACUGGAUUAGAUACCCAGGUAUUCUUUUCUCUUAAUUAAAGAAUUCUAAAUUAAAAGAUAUGGCAGUAAAUUAUCUUACUAGGGGAACUUGUUUCAUAAUCGAUAAUCCGCGAAAAUCUUACUUAAAUUUAAGCUUUCAUACCGUCAUCCUUUAAUCUAUUAAUAGAUUUAUAUUAAUAAAUAUUAUAAAUAAUAGAUCAACGCGAAGCAAUAUUUAAGCGAAAAUGAGUUACAUUUAUAUUCUAAUACGAAUAAUAUAAUGAAAUAUAUAUUUCAAGGUGGACUUAGAAGUAAAUUUUCAUAAAAAAGAAAAUUGAAUUAGUAAUAAUUUAUGUACAAAUCGCCCGUCAAUUCUUAAAAGAAUAAGUCGAAACAAAGUAAUUGUACUGGAAAGUGUAAUUUUAAUUAC
rnacentral:ncRNA from 1 species